UCACCUUCAUACUUUACGAAUAAGUAUCUAGAUUAGAUCUAUUUAAUUUAAAUCUAUCUUCCAUAUCUACCAAUAUGAUAUACUAGUAUUUCUCUGAGUGCACCUCGGAGCUCAGAGACAGCAGUGGAGGCCUAUUGUUUGGCCAGUCUUGGCCAUGUUCGUUAAGUGGGUGCAGCAGGCGAAGGACUCGCAGGACUCGUAGCACAGUAAUUACAAGCAGACGCAGGCCCAUCUUCCAAUCGUGGUUUCCCCCAGCAGGAUCUGUCUGUGGCAAGGACAUGGUUAGUACUAUCCUGUCCUGCGCUGUCCGUCGGAGGAGUAAAUAAAACUGUGCAGACAAUUAAGUUUGUUUUGCCUGGGCAUAUUCUUUUCACCACCCAUCCCAUUUUUUUUUUCGGGCUCACGUUUAUGGCCAAGUCGAGCAGGUAAUGGCUGUCCGUUUUUCGUCCUGCUUCGUCCUGGCCAAGAAAUUGCACUAAUUGUUGUUGCCGGACCUCCAGCAAUUGGCUUUUCGUCGAGAAGGAGAUACAAACUUAAUUUGCAGCCGAAUUCGAUUUUUGCUUGUGGCCUGUUGAUUAAAAUUCGUUUUGGAACUUCAUUUAGAUAGCAGAUGAUGCCUGUGGUUGAUCAUUAUUUUCCCUGUGGACUGGUUUAAGUAGAUUGAUUCGACUGAUUAAAAACAUUCAACUUAACAAAAAAGA
ensembl:ncRNA lncRNA:CR44750 long non-coding RNA:CR44750